CUACGUUCCACGCACAGCGAAGCAAGUGCAUUCUGGGAUUUAGUGUCUUUUAUCCACAUGAUCCAAAAACACAUUUUCUGGCUUUUCUCAGCCUAGAAGCCACCAAUUUCUAAAAAGAAAUCACAUUU